rnacentral:lncRNA from 1 species
GAUUUUGCAACAAAACUUUGGAAUAUUACUAAUUUUGUGAUGCUCUUUCAAGCUGUGAUGAAAUUUUUGUCUCGAUCGAAAUUUUAGUUAUAAGGGGAAAGGUCCAUUGUAAUGUCUAUAGCCGGUAAUAUAACUAGUCAUAGUUAUGAACUAAUAUACUAUAUUGUUAUAGAUGAUUUAGAUAAUGAAUGUGAGCUGUUUACUGGCCUUUACUGUUGUAG